rnacentral:rRNA from 1 species
CCUACGGGUGGCAGCAGUGAGGAAUAUUGGUCAAUGGACGUAAGUCUGAACCAGCCAAGUAGCGUGAAGGAUGACUGCCCUAUGGGUUGUAAACUUCUUUUAUAUGGGAAUAAAGUAUUCCACGUGUGGAAUUUUGUAUGUACCAUAUGAAUAAGGAUCGGCUAACUCCGUGCCAGCAGCCGCGGUAAUACGGAGGAUCCGAGCGUUAUCCGGAUUUAUUGGGUUUAAAGGGAGCGUAGGUGGAUUGUUAAGUCAGUUGUGAAAGUUUGCGGCUCAACCGUAAAAUUGCAGUUGAAACUGGCAGUCUUGAGUACAGUAGAGGUGGGCGGAAUUCGUGGUGUAGCGGUGAAAUGCUUAGAUAUCACGAAGAACUCCGAUUGCGAAGGCAGCUCACUAGACUGUCACUGACACUGAUGCUCGAAAGUGUGGGUAUCAAACAGGAUUAGAUACCCCAGUAGUC